CAAUCUCAGCCUGUUAAUAGGAGUUUGGAAAUGUUUAAAUACUCCUAUAACGUCUGAUGAUUACU
rnacentral:pre_miRNA from 1 species